rnacentral:rRNA from 1 species
GUGGAGGGUCUAAAUACCUUAAAGGCACCAGAUCCCUUCUGAUCUUGGGUGCUAAGCAGGGUUGGCCCUGUUUAGUACUUGGAUGGCAGACAGCCAACAAAGACCAGGAGCUGCAGACU